CCUACGGGUGGCAGCAGUGGGGAAUAUUGCACAAUGGGCGAAAGCCUGAUGCAGCCAUGCCGCGUGUGUGAAGAAGGCCUUCGGGUUGUAAAGCACUUUCAGCGGGGAGGAAGGCGGUGAGGUUAAUAACCUCGUCGAUUGACGUUACCCGCCGAAGAAGCCCCGGCUAACUCCGUGCCAGCAGCCGCGGUAAUACGGAGGGUGCAAGCGUUAACCGGAAUUACUGGGCGUAAAGCGCACGCAGGCGGUCUGUCAAGUCGGAUGUGAAAUCCCCGGGCUCAACCUGGGAACUGCAUUCGAAACUGGCAGGCUAGAGUCUUGUAGAGGGGGGUAGAAUUCCAGGUGGAGCGGUGAAAUGCGUAGAGAUCUGGAGGAAUACCGGUGGCGAAGGCGGCCCCCUGGACAAAGACUGACGCUCAGGUGCGAAAGCGUGGGGAGCAAACAGGAUUAGAUACCCCGGUAGUC
rnacentral:rRNA from 1 species